CCUACGGGUGGCAGCAGUGAGGAAUAUUGGUCAAUGGGCGAGAGCCUGAACCAGCCAAGUAGCGUGAAGGAUGACUGCCCUAUGGUUUGUAAACUUCUUUUAUAUGGGAAUAAAGUGUUCCACGUGUGGGUUUUUGUAUGUACCCUAUGAAUAAGCAUCGGCUAACUCCGUGCCAGCAGCCGCGGUAAUACGGAGGAUGCGAUCGUUAUCCGGAUUUAUUGGGUUUAAAGGGAGAGUAGGUGGUUAGUUAAGUCAGUGGUGAAAGUUUUGGGCUCAACCCUAAAAGUGCCGUUGAAACUGGUAGACUUGAGUAUAGUAGAGGUAGGCGGAAUUCGUGGUGUAGCGGUGAAAUGCAUAGAUAUCACGAAGAACUCCGAUUGCGAAGGCAGCUUACUAAACUGCAACUGACACUGAAGCACGAAAGUGUGGGGAUCAAACAGGAUUAGAUACCCUGGUAGUC
rnacentral:rRNA from 1 species